GUCUAGUAUAAGCAUUAUACAGCGAAACUGCGAAUGGCUCAUUAUAUAAGUUAUCGUUUAUUUGAUAGUACCUUACUACUUGGAUAACCGUGGUAAUUCUAGAGCUAAUACAUGCUAAAAAUCCCGACUUCGGAAGGGAUGUAUUUAUUAGAUUAAAAACCAAUGCCCUCUGGGCUCCUUGGUGAUUCAUAAUAACUUUUCGAAUCGCAUGGCCUUGCGCCGGCGAUGGUUCAUUCAAAUUUCUUCCCUAUCAACUUUCGAUGUUUGGGUAUUGGCCAAACAUGGUCGCAACGGGUAACGGAGGGUUAGGGCUCGACCCCGGAGAAGGAGCCUGAGAAACGGCUACUACAUCCAAGGAAGGCAGCAGGCGCGCAAAUUACCCAAUCCCGAUUCGGGGAGGUAGUGACAAUAAAUACUGAUACAGGGCUCUUUUGGGUCUUGUAAUUGGAAUGAGUACAAUUUAAAUCCCUUAACGAGGAACAAUUGGAGGGCAAGUCUGGUGCCAGCAGCCGCGGUAAUUCCAGCUCCAAUAGCGUAUAUUAAAGUUGUUGUGGUUAAAAAGCUCGUAGUUGAACCUUGGGCCUGGCUGGCCGGUCCGCCUCACCGCGUGUACUGGUCCGGCCGGGCCUUUCCCUCUGUGGAACCUCAUGCCCUUCACUGGGUGUGGCGGGGAAACAGGACUUUUACUUUGAAAAAAUUAGAGUGCUCCAGGCAGGCCUAUGCUCGAAUACAUUAGCAUGGAAUAAUGAAAUAGGACGUGUGGUUCUAUUUUGUUGGUUUCUAGGACCGCCGUAAUGAUUAAUAGGGACAGUCGGGGGCAUCAGUAUUCAAUUGUCAGAGGUGAAAUUCUUGGAUUUAUUGAAGACUAACUACUGCGAAAGCAUUUGCCAAGGAUGUUUUCAUUAAUCAGGAACGAAAGUUAGGGGAUCGAAGACGAUCAGAUACCGUCGUAGUCUUAACCAUAAACUAUGCCGACUAGGGAUCGGACGAUGUUAUUUUUUGACGCGUUCGGCACCUUACGAGAAAUCAAAG
rnacentral:rRNA from 1 species